GGGGUCCCCACACCCUGCACUGACUAAGGGUAGCGGGUCUCUGCGGGCUGGGGACGCAGGGGUUCGGCCUGGCUGCGGGAAGCCUCCCUGGAUCCUGCCUCUAGAUAUCUGCUGCUGAAAUCUAGAACACCAGCGGGAAAACAGAUUUGAAGACAAUGAAUGCAAAUCUGUGCUCAAAGACCAUCUGCCGUGGAGGAGACAAUCAGCUGUUUUACGGAGAAUUUCGGUCCCAGCAAAAACUGACCACCUGGAGUCUUCUACCGUCUCUAUAAAUCUCUCCGAACCUCAAGCAACUCCCCCGCACCCCUUUCGUCUAGGGUCUGCGCCCAGCGGGGCCAAAGCCUUGAGUUCCUUGGCAGAGAGUGUGGAACAGCCGUGAGCCCUUCAAGACACGCCUAUGAGCCCGGUGAUUUUUUUUUCAAGGGGGCUUUGAUCGGCUGUACCUCCACGUUGCCCCGGAAAGGUGCGCAGGGCACCCGGAGGGGCCUCUGGUCAGCAGUGGGCCUGGGCCGAGCCCCAACAGUUUACCCCUCAGGCUCAGGUUGGCUGGGGUUAAAGGGCAAAGUCAGGGUCGAGGGCGCCAGCUUUUCUCGGCGGUAACAGCUGCCACCCAAAUUAUGCCCCCUCAGGAAGCGAAUGAAUUGUUCCUUUCUCCCAGCUCCCUGCUGCCAGCCCCAAAACAGACGGGCCGCGCUCGGCGGGCGCCCCUCCUCCCAGCCAACCCCCCGAGACGCGCUCAGGGGCCUCGGUGCCCCGCUGGGAGGAAUCUGGGGGAGCCGUGGUCCCGAACUUUGACAGAGUGGGGCCUCCCCACUACUUGCCGGCUGCGCUAAGGGCGCCCCCCGCGACAGUGCUGCUGGGAGCUCCAGGGAUGCUGCGGGCGUUGAAGUUCCCUGUUGGCCUGGCUGAAGUGCCUGCGCGAGCGUGAGGGGACAAGGACUGCCUUGGGCCCAGCGUGGCGGCGUUUCGGCCAACCCAGUUGGGCUUAAUUGUGUCUGUAUAGGUUUUGGGGAGGAAUGCUCGCAGAGUCCGCCACGCGCGUGAAACAUGGGUUGGUUGGGGGAGUGAGCAGCUGCGGCUGCUCCUGGAGGGUCCCUCCCACCUCUAUCACCUCCAGCUACCCGCAAACAAACCUCCUUUUCGAUCUCGUGCAACACAAAACCUGCCCCGAGCCGCGCGGGGGCCUGGCAAGCGCAGCUGCGGCCCGGGAAGCCCAGUCCCGCGGGGCUGCGGAGCCCACACGCUUCUCAGGCUCCGGCCAACUAGCUCGGUUCUGCCUCUAGCCCGGGUCAAGAAAAAUCCAAA